CGCGUAAAGAACUUGCCUCACAGCUAGGGAUAACAUUUAGAAAUGAAUGCUAAUACCUGAUAUUAUGAUUUUAAGGCAUCUUAGAAUUAUGAAAGCUAUAAGCACUGUGAGAGAGCUUUGCGUCCCAUUAGCUAGUUGGAGAGGUAACAGCUCACCAAGGCGAUGAUGGGUAGCCGGCCUGAGAGGGUGAACGGCCACAAGGGGACCGAGACAUGGCCCUU
rnacentral:rRNA from 1 species